AUGCGCCCUGGUCUACUUAUCUCUUUUAUUUUUAAUUACUCGUGUUCAUUCGAAUCCCUAAAUUUCUUAGCCGGUUUUAAAGACGUCAUUCUACCUACGUCAUUCGAUCAGGCCGUUUUCCAAAGUAUAUGUUGUAAACAUCACAUUAAUUUUGGGUGCCUUUUUAUUUUAAAAAAGUUUCGGUUGUUGAAUUAGAAAUGAGUAAGUUAUACAGAAAUAAAAAAGGAGUCCCCGCUUUAAUAACCCCAAAGCUGGUUUAAGAUAAGCAAAUCAAAAAUUUUAAAGAUGCAUCGGAAAGGGUCACAUGGUUAAUUAACUGGGAUUCCCUAUAUCCUGUGGUGAAUAAAUUAUUUGUGGUCUCGUAUUAUAAGAUAUUAUAAGACACAGGUAGAUAUGCCAUUAUUUAGGUAGUCAUGAACUUUAGGAUGUUUUUUUUUAAAGAAAAAGUAUGCAAAAAAUAACGUCAACCCAAAUCAAGAGUAAUCUCUUUUAAAUGAAAACUGUAUAAUAAAAGAAAUAAAACAAAUACUUUAAUUAAGCAAAUUUUGCUUUCUACUGCAGACGAAAAUAGACUGUUAGUAUUAAAAAAAAAAAAACAUACCUACUCAGACAAAAAAAAACGCCCAUUAAAAGAUAUUGUCAGUCAAUUUUCAAUUUUUCCCGUCGCUUCAAAACUAAAUUUUUAACAGUAAUAGCAAACUUUAUUAGAAUUUAAAUAUUAAAUUUAAAUUUGAAAUUUAUAGCACAAAUGUGUGUACUUAUCAACCAUAAUUAUUUAAUUAAAUAUUUUAAAGGAUAUGACAACGUCCAUAAAAUUAUGAAGUCGCGAUUAAAAUUACAAUCAAUAUUUUGAAGCAUUUCAGAGGUUACUAGACUACAUAAUGGACAAGAGAACCAGAGAUAUACCGGAGAAAUUAGCAAAUAAACGCCUUUUUUGUGGCAAUCUUUGAUACAGGUAUCUAACAACAAAAUUAAACGUCAUAUUUUACUUAUAAACAAUAUAUUUAUAAACAAUGUAAGAUCGGUAUUUGAUUUUAGAUAUUAAAGGUAAAUACUGUAACGUUAUAAACGUCAUAUCUUUGCUAUUUUAUUUUCAAAUAAUUAUUUUAUUCUAUUUUCUUUAAUAAUUCAUUAAUAAUAAUCUUCUUCUAUUUGUUAUAACUUGUUUUCCCGUUAAAAACUUGUUUGGCGCCCUGUUAUAGACAACUCUCUUUUCAUCUAAUCACUCGUGUCAUAUAUCACAAUCAUAAUCAUAAUCACUCGUGUCAAUACGGAACAUACUUCUAUUCUACUCUUUCUAUUCUCGUUUCUGUCAGUAUCAAGCCCCAAUAACUAACUCAUGUCAAGUCCAUCCCUCUUAACAUGGAUGGUUUUUCUAUAAUUUCUCUGAUUAUAAAACCAAGAUUUCAUGGUUCUUUUAUUUUAUUUUCCAAUAGACGUUCUUAAUAAAUUAGGUGUUUUUGGACAAAUUGCAAAACGACACACAACCCUCCACCUCCUGGGAGGAGUCCCUGACUGGAGCCCCCAAUGUCGCCGGCGAUGCAGCAAUAACCAGAACAACUGAACAUCUAACCAACCAACACCUGUAGGCCUGGUGGCGCCGAACAUCUACGACCCCAGAGCCAGUUGCAGAACCAACAGCAAGACAUCAAGAAUCUACAGACAUAAAUACCUUCGGCAAGGUUUUGUAUAUCUUAUGAUAAUACAUUACUUAAUUAUGCCUUUUAUGAAAAAUAAACAUGAUUAGUUA
rnacentral:lncRNA from 1 species